AUUGAACGCUGGCGGCAGGCUUAACACAUGCAAGUCGAGCGAGCGGCGGACGGGUGAGUAAUGUCUGGGAAACUGCCUGAUGGAGGGGGAUAACUACUGGAAACGGUAGCUAAUACCGCAUACCAUCAGAUGUGCCCAGAUGGGAUUAGCUAGUAGGUGGGGUAAUGGCUCACCUAGGCGACGAUCCCGAGCUGGUCUGAGAGGAUGACCCGCCACCAUGGAACUGGGCAGCGGUCCAGACUCCAACGGGAGGCAGCAGUGGGGAAUAUUGGCCAAUGGGCGCAAGCCUGAUGCAGCAAUGCCGCGGGUGUGAAGAAGGCCUUCGGGUUGUAAAGCACUUUCAUCGAGGAGGCGUUACUCGCAGAAGAAGCACCGGCUAACUCCGUGCCAGCAGCCGCGGUAAUAC
rnacentral:rRNA from 1 species